rnacentral:rRNA from 1 species
UACGGAGGGUGCUAGCGUUGUUCGGAAUCACUGGGCGUAAAGGGCGCGUAGGCGGCCUUCUAAGUCGAACGUGAAAUCCCCGGGCUCAACCCGGGAACUGCGUCCGAUACUGGAAGGCUUGAAUCCGGGAGAGGGAUGCGGAAUUCCAGGUGUAGCGGUGAAAUGCGUAGAGAUGUGGAGGAACACCGAUGGCGAAGGCAGCCUCCUGGGCCAGCACUGACGCUCAUGCACGAAAGCGUGGGGAGCAAACAGG